UACGUAGGGUGCGAGCGUUAAUCGGAAUUACUGGGCGUAAAGCGUGCGCAGGCGGUUCGGUGUGUCUGUCGUGAAAGCCCCGGGCUCAACCUGGGAAUGGCGAUGGAAACUGGCGAGCUGGAGUGUGGCAGAGGGGGGUGGAAUUCCGCGUGUAGCAGUGAAAUGCGUAGAGAUGCGGAGGAACACCGAUGGCGAAGGCAGCCCCCUGGGCUGACACUGACGCUCAGGCACGAAAGCGUGGGGAGCAAACAGG
rnacentral:rRNA from 1 species